AAUUGUGUAAUAUCGCAGAUGAACUUAAAUCCAAAACAGAAAUGGGUUAAUCAUAAUGCGAAUAAAAAAUAACUAGGAAAUUUGAAAGUUGUGAACAUAAACAUUUAAUAAAACUACAGCCCUUUAUAUUUCGAACUUCUAGCAAACAAACUUGCACCUCUUCAUUUCAUAUGUUAGUGAGAUGAAAAAUACCUAGAAAUAAAAGAAACAAUGCAGCAAGUUUCAGCAGAAGGAAAAACAGCAUCAACCAACUCUAAACCCAACAAUAGAGCAAUAAAGACCACAUCAAAAUCCACACUAGACUUCAAUUACUUGAAACUCAAUCCAUUUUAAGCCAGAAUGCAAAAUUACGAAUUUCAGUGAUGUGAACUAGCUUAUUAAGACCAAAAGAACCAAACACAGGCAGGUAUUUUUUGUAUUUUUAAGAGAAUGCUAGGGAUUCAAGGUUAUUUUUCAGAGUUUCUUCAGGACUGUCAGCCGUUUCAGUUUUUGGGUGAUUUCUAUCUCUUAAUUUCCGACUUGAGAGUCAUGUUAGGAUGCCUUUACAAGCAAGGGACUAGGGAAGCAGUAGAAUGUUUAGAUUUUGCAAUUUUACCCUUUUAAAAUCUUCAUUUUAGCUUAGGUAUCACUUGUUUAAUUUUCAAAAUUCAAAUAGGCCCCCACCCUAGCUUCCUAGAAGCAUUAUGUAGUAGUUACUAAAGAUUUCUCUAUUUAUUUUUCCUAAUUUGACACUUGCAACUCUGUUAAAUACCCAAGAACUUGAACGGGUUCUGAAUCAAGCUGGCCCAAAAAUUAAUCUUGCCCUGGGCUCAAGAGAAACUACUCAGAUAUUUGCCCAUUUGUGCUUUUUAAUUUUCCGAAAAAAUUCAAGCCAUAAAUCACUAUCGAAAAUCUUAAUGGGGUGAAUGAGACAAAAUUAAAUUAAAGAAAAUAAUGGAUUAGUUAAUUCUAAGGAGACAAUCGAACAAACUGUAGUUUUAACAAACUAAAGCAUGCAAACAUGGCAGAUAAAUAUUAAAAAAACAAACAUAUGACAAAGAGGAGAAGAGGAGAUGGAAAAAAGAUUAAGGCAUGCGUUUAAACGAAAAAUAAGAAAAGGAAAAUGCAAGAAAUAGAACGAGAACUAAGAAUACCCCACGAUGAAUGAAUAAAAUCACAGCAUAUUCUUAAAAGGAUCCUCAAUUUUUUGCCAAAAUAGGCCUUCAUCAUGCGUUCUCGACUGAAAACACAUAAUUAAGGUCGACUUUGCCUUCAAAUUCUUCGAGACCUCGCCUAUCUGGCCUUUUUGGGAUUUUGGGUUAAUAUUUUUAAUCAAGAUUCGAACGAUUAUGGGGAGAUGUGAAGAAAAUGGAGUGGGGAUUUGGAAUAAGGAGGGCUUGGGAGUCAUGUAGUGUUAAUUUAGGAGUGUUUGGAAUAGGCGCCGCCACCGGUGGUGGUUGGAAAUUUUGGGCGGCGGCUAGGAUUCUAUGAACGGUCUCUAAGAGAGGAAGUUAGAAGAGACAAGAUGG
rnacentral:lncRNA from 1 species